GGGACAGCUGGGGCAUUUGUGCGUCUCUGGGCUACUUUCUAACGCUUCUCUGGAUCUCGUGCCCGUUCUGUCCUCAUCGUUCAGGGAUCGAGUGCUACCUUCACUUACUCGCAGAAGUGUACAUGCUAGUGUGGUGUAUCCUGGUGGGUGUUUGUUGAUGAUGUUAUGAUACAGUUUUUUGUUGUUGUUUUUUUUUUUUUUUUACAGUUUUCUCUGUAGACUAGAGGAAGAAGGAUGCUUGUGUUUUCAGGAAGUGUAAUGCUUUUCUUUGACCGCCACACUCUUUUAUGGAAUAUAUCUUUGUAUUAAUGCUGUUGUCUUGGCUGUUUGUGUUUUGGGUGACAUCAUGAUGGCAUUAAGUACCUCUGUGGUAAGCUUGGCUGCUGAGGGAACCAGGGGGAUUGGGUGUGGCUGGGCACGACAGGCUGGUGGACGGUAAAGCCAGUUUAUGGUUGGCACCGUCUGAAAUAACUUCCGUCAAGUGAUUUUUUUUAGAUUUUUUUCUAAGGUUUAUGUACCUUGAGAGUGUGAGCGAGCACAAGUGGGGGAGGGGCAGGGAGAGAGAGAGAAUCCCAAGUGGGUUCCACGCUCUGCGCUGAGCCCACGCGGGGCUCGAUCUUACAAACCGAUCACGACCUGAGCCAAAAUCAACAGUCAGACACUGAACUGACUGAGCCACCCAGGCACCCUGUGAUUUUUUAGAUUCUGUGUGCCGCUCUCAGUCAUCCUUUGUGUGGAGGUUAUAACCGGGAUGAGCUGGCCUGUGGCUUGCUUACAGUGAGAGGCAGAGCUUUGACUCUGUAGAGCCAGGAGGAAAAGCAUUAGGCUCUCUCUGUGCAGCGCCCCCCGGCAGCACGAUCCAGGCGAACGCACUUGGGGACGCUGGGUCGGAAUCUGGGCACUGCUGUCCUGGACCCGCUGGCCCGUCUGUGAAGGGUGAGCAGCAUUGCCCACCGGGCCACGUACCUCUGACCCAUCCUGCCCUGGGGGAGACGGUGACGCCAGACCCUCGAUGCCGGCGCGUGGACACCCAGGAGCGAUGGCGCCUGCCACCCCAUCUAUCCAGGUCGACCUGGCGGCUGGACCCCUUCCAUCUCCUUGGCCUCGGGGUAGCUGGAUGAGAGAAGAGAAAGGAAACCAGGGGAAGUGGUGCAUGCGUGGCGGUCUCCAGUGAACUGGAAACGACUUGUACGAAGCCACAGCGCAGCCUCCUGGUCAUUCCCCGCACAGCCUACUCACUCCCUGCCCUGCCACGCUGCGUAGAGGCCGGUGUGACCUCUGCACUCCCCCUCUUAACCCCCAUACACUCCCACUUUAAGGUUUCCGGGUCUUUCCUUGUCCUUCCUGUGCCCCUUCCUGCUCACACCGUUGCAGGACUUCGCUGCGUUAUUUUUUUUCCCACCUCAUCUCCCUCGCACACCAUUUCUUACAUGUUUCCCCAUCUCAGAAAGCUUGCCUUGGCCCCCUCGCCUUCCUUCCUUUCCUUCCCCUCCCCACCGCUCCCUUCCUUGACUGAAGGCUGCGAGCCCAGGCACCAGACUCCACUGGCCUCUGCGGCUCCUGGCACUCUGGACCAGCCCCUUCUCAACAUCCUCCGCUUCUGUGGCCCGGGCUCGCCAGGUCUCUGACCCCCUCCUGCCCAUUCCCGUCACACCUCCAGCCAGCCUCGCCUGCCACUGCCCAGCUCACCAGUCUCCGGGCGUUCCCACUACCCAAAGGGCAGGGCUGGGAGCUGAGCAGGAAAACCAUCUGUGCUGGUGCGUGGGAAGCCUGUGCUCCGUUUCCCCGCAUGAAUGACGAAACAUUAAUGGGUCCUGGAACACAGGAAGUGCUCCGGGUACUUAACAGUUAAAAAACGCAUUCAGUCACCAGAACAGCUCUGAGGAAGCCAUUUUUGUGCCCGACAUGUGAGACUCCGAGAAAGGAGAGUUCCUUUUGAGGAUCUGGAAGGUCUGGAUUCAGACUCUGGAAACCUGCCCCCCAGAACCCGUACCUGUUAAAAUAGGCUUGGUGUCUACCAGCCCCGACUUCUGAAUGUCUGGCUGAAUGUCCGACUCCUGCUGAGCAAAACCACACCAAGGGCAAGCCCGGAAAGGAGCAGUUUCCUGAAGAUUGCCCAAACUAGCAGGGCUCUGUCAUAGGUCAACAGGCGUUUGGACGAGGCAGGGGAGUGCUCGCUCAUGCUUCCACACCUGGAUUUGGAAGAAGGUGGUGCUCAGCCUUAUGCAAGUACAGGUCUUCCAGGUGCUCGGCCCCAUCUUGCCCCCGAGGCCCUGGCCAUGGGCAGCAGGCUCCCUUCUCUGUAAGGCCAGAGCUGCUCCACCCAGCAGGCCCACAGAGGGCUUUCUGUGCCGGGCAGUGAGGCAUCGGACAUGGCCUUCUCUCCAAGGGAUACUACAUGGGAGCUGCUGCUGGGGUGGUAAUGGGCAUGCGUGAGUGUAGGCCUCUGCAAUCUUAGGGAGCCCGGGGGGAGAGCUUCCCAGAAGAGGAGGCUGGGUCAGAGCCAGCAGAGAAGGGAAGGCCUCAGUCUUGGUAGCUGGGGCCACCUACUCGCUCCUGGUCAGCAGCACCGGAGCACGGACUGCAGAGGCAGGGAGAAAGGGGAGGUGCUUUGCAGCGGUCCCAGCACCCAAGGCAUCCUCCUGUCCUAGGAAGGUCCUGCCCAGACACCAAUUGCUUGGCCCUGUCACCUGGAGGUGUGGUGCCUUCAGCUGUACCGGCUGAGUGGAAUGGCUGUGUGACCUUCCCGGGUGGGCGUUUCCAGCUCUAGGGUCCCGCCUGGUGUCUGGCCACAGGGCCACAGGGUUGUCUGCCCCUAAACUGUGGUGACUUUCCCAAAUGAUGGAUCUUGGUAAAGAUGCUUCCACAGGCUUGUGUCUGUUCCUCAAGAGGUUGCUGCCUGGCCUUCCAGGGCUGACUGGGCCUCCUGCAGUUCUCAUUCGUCCGGGCGCUCUCUAAUCCAGAGAACCGGAUACCUUUGGCGCCAUUUUGGCUCUUUGGGAACUCAGACAGAGCUGGCGUUUCCUCCUCUGAGGCUGCAGUGGAAAGGUAUGUUCAUCCUCAGAGUGCUUUUGGGGUCUCCGGGGUGACCCAGGGAAACCCGAAAUGGGUGGUGUAGAAUAAGGACUGUGGAAUAACUUAGAAAAAGUCAAGGCUGCCUGUAAGUGGAUACUGGCCUGGUGAAGUUACCAAUUUUAGAGAGCCCAGCUUUGGAGGAGGAGGAAAAUAAAGCAGAACUCACAAAGGUCUGAGACCAUUAUUUCUUCAUUCCGCUUUCUUCCUGUGCUCUGCAUCUCGUAUUUCCGCAGGGGCUUCAAAGGCAUGGUUUAAUAACUAGCAAAAUAAAUGAUCACCUUGGACUAU